rnacentral:lncRNA from 1 species
GUGUGUGUGUCUGCGUACGAUCGCAGGAGAAGGGGGAAAAGGGGGUGUAAACCCUAACCACAAAAAAAUCAUCAAUUGAAAAGGAAAUCGCGGGUUGAUUGUGUGCAUGAACCAAGAAUGAUGAUCCCUUAAGCGUUUCUCACAUCAAGAACGUGUCAAGGAGAGGUCAAGCAUAGGAGGAUAGCGGGUCAAGAUAAGGCAAGGUGACAAAUACACUUAUUGGAGUACUCGAGGAAGGAACAUUGGCAUGUAUGAAGGUAUGGGAUCGUUGGCUUCAUGAAGAAAUGGAGCUGGAUUUGGAUAAGAGUAUUUAAGAAAGCGCUUGGACAAUUCCACGACUACUUUAUAGAAUGCUCUACGAAAUUUUAUUAUAUAGUUUAAUGUUGAAUGGUAUGUUGAUGACUAAUGGUUUGGUUGUACGUGGUGUCCACAGGUAUCGCUUGGGUUUUCUCUACAUUUAUUGAAGUGAAGCGGACUUAGUUCGAGUUGAGAGCAAGGAUUGUACGGGGUAGAAUGGUCACAUAGUGUAACUCAUAUAGGUUUUGAAGUAUUAAUGUUAUAAAACGUUAUAAAUCCGUUUUAAUGAAUAUAUGGCAUUUCGCAUUUGAACCUUCAUGUGUUUGAUAUGUCUAUUAAAGAACGAAAUUUUUGG